UACGUAGGGUGCGAGCGUUAAUCGGAAUUACUGGGCGUAAAGCGUGCGCAGGCGGCUUUGCAAGACAGAUGUGAAAUCCCCGGGCUCAACCUGGGAAUUGCGAUGGAGACUGCAAGGCUAGAAUCUGGCAGAGGGGGGGUAGAAUUCCACGUGUAGCAGUGAAAUGCGUAGAGAUGUGGAGGAACACCGAUGGCGAAGGCAAUCCCCCUGGGCCUGCACUGACGCUCAUGCACGAAAGCGUGGGGAGCAAACA
rnacentral:rRNA from 1 species